rnacentral:lncRNA from 1 species
UCCAUGCAAAUUAUGAUGCAUUCCUCUGUAUUAUUAAAUGAAGUGAACCUAGGCUGAACAUAUGCUGUUUCCUACAUUUCAUAUGCACCUACUUAAACUGUAGAAUAUAUUACAAGUAUUUGCUACUUCCAAGGACGUAAAAGGAAGGUAGACAACAGAGAAUUACAACAGCUUGCUGAUCGUUUUUGGGAUGAGUCUGAAGAUGUGGAUCCAUUUCAAGAUAGUGGUUUUGAAUACUCCCCUCAUAUGACUUCAGAAUCUAACAUGGAUGAAAGUAACUACCUUCAGGAGAAUUUGGAGAGCUCAAGUUGUGAUCAAGAAAAUACUGAACCAGAAGUUGAUGACGGCACAUAAGGAAACCUAAAAGGGCAUUUAUGUCAAAUGCAAAUUUUAUAAAAAUGUAAAAAAAAAGAAAUGUUCUUGCAUAUUUGUGUUGUCAUUUAAAUAAUAAUUUAAUUCAAAAAAAGAAAAACUUUUUAUAAAUCAAAAAGUUGAUGUGAAAGGGUUAAUAACCUAUUAAAUUUUUUUCCAUUAAAUUCAAAUUGCUUCCAAUUUUACACACACACACACAAAAAAAAAGGGGGGGGAGAGAGAGAGACAGAGCAGGAAUGACUCUUAAAAGAGGCAAUGCUCAGCUGCAUAUGCUAUGAAUAUAAUGCAGCAUGACCAAAAAAUAGUCAUCAUUAACAAAUCUCCAUCAUGCUUCUCAUAACUUGAAAAUAUCUGCAAUGUGGUACUCUGUAUUUUGUGCAGAAUUUUCAGCUUCAGAACCCCUAAUAUGAUUCAAUUGUCUGAGUGUCUGCAGGAUUGACAAAGUUUAUUGAUAGUUUACAGUUUGAUGAUUGUAGGAUAUUAUCACAAAAGCAGCAAAUUGCAUAAUAUAACAAUACCAGACAUUCCAUAAUUUAUUUCCCAUUUACAAAUUUACAGGAUAAUUUUAUUUAAGAUAACAAAUAAUUAAUCUAAUCUCUUAUCUUAACCUAAUUUAUCUGCUUAUCUUAUAAAAUAAUUUUUGGAAACGCUAUUCAAAUUAUUCCAAAAUUUUAAUUGAUAAAAAUCUAUCAACAAAGUCUAAAAUUAAUAAAACAACACAAUAAAGACUAUUUACAGUAAACAGCAACAAAAUUUAAAAUGAAGAUUGAGUGUGGUAAAUCUUGAAGCACUGAGAAGUAUCAUUUUCUAACUCUUAGAAAAAGUAUCACUUUCUAACUCUUAGAAAAAGUAUCACUUUCGAACUCUUUAGAAAAUGAAUCAUCACUCUCAUCUGUGUUAGUACAUGGUUCAUUAACCAUACAAGGAUAUUUUUUCUCUGAUAAACAGUGCUUUCCCGCCAUAAUAGACGGAAGGUGAGGCUUUCUGAAAUAAAAAGAAAAGAAACAGAAAUAUAUCUGAAGGCAAUGCAAAACGUAACAGAACUCCACAUAGUAACCCUAAAACCCAUACAAAGCAGAGGAAAAAUAGAAUGAAAAUAAGAACUGGAUAUAAAUUAGACACAUGAAUGUUUAUAUUAGCAUGUGGGGAUUUAAAGAGCCCAUUUAUGUUUAUGCUUUCUCCCCCCCCCCAUCCUCACAACAGUUGAGGAGUAAAAUACUAAAGUCAGGCAGAACCAUUCAAACUCAAGGUCAGGAACCUAAAACUGUGUUCAUUUCAAAAGUAAUGGUCAUAGGAUGCCAUCUAGUGGUCUUCAGAAAAACAUUCCAGCUUAAAAUGUGUAUAUGCAGCAUCCGUCCUCUGAAUGCAAUCUCUAGUGAUGCGUGGAUGGAACACCCGGCUGUAACAGACGUUCUCUUAGGAAAUGCGUAUAUGGGACGCUCGUUCUGAAGGGGUUAAACAAGGACUGCAACAAGGUUUUCUCUCACUUGGCACUAUAUCUUAUUCUACCACAACAUCAGAUCUGCAUACUAAAAACAACCUUUAGAUGUUGCUGUAUGUUGACCACUUCAUGUGGCAAUUAUGUAACAAACUCUAAACUGAUAUGGUGCAUGCCACACGCAUCUGUUAAUCAGUCAAAUAUCUUUUUAAGGUGUUUACUCUCCAAAGAUUAUGGACAUAGAAUUCUGUAUCGAAGGAUGGCUUUCCCAUUUGUUACACAUGAAAAUUUCUCCCAGAUCUUUAUUCUGAUUUCUCACUAGAUGUAUACUAAAAAAAAAAAAAAAAAAAAAAAAAAAAAAAAAAAAAAAAA